rnacentral:rRNA from 1 species
GUCCACGCCCUAAACUAUGUCAACUGGUUGUCGGGAAGCAAUUCCUUGGUAACGAAGCUAACGCGUGAAGUUGACCGCCUGGGGAGUACGGCCGCAAGGUUAAAACUCAAAGGAAUUGACGGGGACCCGGCACAAGCGGUGGAUUAUGUGGAUUAAUUCGAUGCAACGCGAAAAACCUUAACCUACCCUUGACAUGUACGGAACCUCGCAGAGAUGUGAGGGUGCUCGAAAGAGAACCGUAACACAGGUGCUGCAUGGCUGUCGU